GACAGGGUUUUGAUGUGAAACUUAUCGAUGUCAAUCGAACAUGUAAAGUUACAAAGGGAGGGCAGUUGGUUAAAUAUACGGUAAUGGUUGCUUGUGGUAAUUAUCAUGGUGUCAUUGGUUUCGCCAAGGCAAAAGGCCCAGCAGUCCCUACUGCGUGUCAGAAGGCUCAUGAGAAAUGCUUUCAAAAUCUGCAUUAUGUCGAACGACAUGAAGAUCAUACAAUUGUACAUGCGAUUCAGACUUCUUAUAA